ensembl:lncRNA
ACACCUGCAGCCCUUCAUCCUGACGAGGUUCCUGGGGUACCUCAAGCAAAGACAGCAUUAGACAAGGAUCUCUGGGUGCUCACAGCCUCCCCCAGCCUGCUGCUCCUGCACUUUGCAAGCCCUCCCCCAGGCCCCAUCUCCCACCCCCACCUCCCUGGCAAGCACUGCUGGAGCCAACAGGUCAAGAAAACCCAGGUGGAGAGAAUGUUCUAAGCUGUUCCCUGCAGACAACACAGUCAUCACGUGGAAUUCAGGCCUCCUCACUGGAUUCAUCUUGGCUAAGAGAUGCACACACACACGGGAGGAUCUGGAGAUGAACCAAAUAUGGACUCAGAACCAGGCAAAGCAAGGUGACUGGCCAAAGGAAACCCAGAAUAAACGCCCCGUAUGUGAUUCAAAUUACCGCAGGAGCACGACUCUCCCUCUGAGCCCGCCCGUGUGUCUAUUCGCAUGUCCCCUUUUCUGUUCCUAAUACAUUGCUUGUUUCACUCCUUUCCAUCUCUCCAUCGAAAUUCAUUUCUACACAGCUGAUGGGCCAGGGCCUUGCCACUGGCUGCUGGUCUAGUGGCUAGGAUUCCGCGCUGUCUCUGCCACGGCCUGACUUCACUCUCCAGCUGGGAAUCUAAAUCCUGCUUCAAGCCACUGCAGGCCGAGAUCAACCUGAGUUGGCAGAUAGAGCCCACGAUGACCCAUAGGACGGCAGCUGGAAUGGUGCUGGGAGGGCCCACAGGCAGGGCUUGCGUGCCUACCCCGCAGGUCUGGAGUGGCUAGCUGUCUGUGGAAGGGCCCUGGGGCUGCCCUGGAUUUGGUGAGAAAAGGGAUCUCAGCCAGCUUCCACCUCUGCUGUGGACACAGGCUCCGAGCCUUGGAACGCUCUGAGAGCCGGAAGGUGCCUGCAGAGUCGGUUGCAGGCAACUGACUGUUGUGUGACAUCAGGGUUCUUGCUUAACCUGUGAACCCCCAUCUCUAUAAACUGAUGGAAAGCUAUCUAUGAUCUAGGAUUCUUAUGAAGAGUAAACGAAGCAAUGUUUGCAGAGCACCUGGGACCCAACGUAUACUAUGUCUCUCCUCUUCUCACCUUCUAAGGUAUCCUCAUGUCAGACACCUUUUCUUUGUGUCUAUAUCAGUGGAUGUAUUUACCGUUCAGUCCCUCCUUCAUGCAGAUGCAAAUCUGUCUGGGACUAAGGACAGAAGCAUACUUCAGCAGUGACCCAUCCUGGGUGUGACACAAUUUCUCUGGCAUUGACUUUCAGGUGUGAGUCUGGUUGGAAUUCUGCAGGGACGGGUUUUCAG